rnacentral:rRNA from 1 species
UGGGGAAUCUUCCGCAAUGGGCGAAAGCCUGACGGAGCAAUGCCGCGUGAGUGAUGAAGGAAUUCGUUCCGUAAAGCUCUUUUGUUUAUGACGAAUGUGCAGGUUGUGAAUAAUGAUCUGUAAUGACGGUAGUAAACGAAUAAGCCACGGCUAACUACGUGCCAGCAGCCGCGGUAAUACGUAGGUGGCGAGCGUUGUCCGGAAUUAUUGGGCGUAAAGAGCAUGUAGGCGGUUUUUAAGUCUGGAGUGAAAAUGCGGGGCUCAACCCCGUAUGGCUCUGGAUACUGGAAGACUUGAGUGCAGGAGAGGAAAGGGGAAUUCCCAGCGUAGCGGUGAAAUGCGUAGAUAUUGGGAGG